GGCCAGAUAGCUCAAUUGGUAGAACACCUGACUUGAGAUUUAGGGGCCUGGGUUCAAAUCCCGGUCUGGUCC